AUUGAACGCUGGCGGCAGGCCUAACACAUGCAAGUCGAGCGGAUGAAGGGAGCUUGCUCCUGGAUUCAGCGGCGGACGGGUGAGUAAUGCCCAGGAAUCUGCCUGGUAGUGGGGGAUAACGUCCGGAAACGGGCGCUAAUACCGCAUACGUCCUGAGGGAGAAAGUGGGGGAUCUUCGGACCUCACGCUAUCAGAUGAGCCUAGGUCGGAUUAGCUAGUUGGUGGGGUAAAGGCCUACCAAGGCGACGAUCCGUAACUGGUCUGAGAGGAUGAUCAGUCACACUGGAACUGAGACACGGUCCAGACUCCUACGGGAGGCAGCAGUGGGGAAUAUUGGACAAUGGGCGAAAGCCUGAUCCAGCCAUGCCGCGUGUGUGAAGAAGGUCUUCGGAUCGUAAAGCACUUUAAGUUGGGAGGAAGGGCAGUAAGUUAAUACCUUGCUGUUUUGACGUUACCAACAGAAUAAGCACCGGCUAACUUCGUG
rnacentral:rRNA from 1 species